rnacentral:antisense_RNA from 1 species
CUUCACCGAACCCAACCACGCAGGAACCUCCCGGUCCUGCCCGUAGGUCGCCAACAACGCCUGCACCUC